rnacentral:rRNA from 1 species
UAGGAACGUGUCCUGUAAUGGGGGAUAACGCAGCGAAAGCUGUGCUAAUACCGCAUACGAUCUACGGAUGAAAGUGGGGGAUCGCAAGACCUCACGUUAUAGGAGCGGCCUAUCUCUGAUUAGCUAGUUGGUGAGGUAAAGGCUUACCAAGGCGAUGAUCAGUAGCUGGUCUGAGAGGACGACCAGCCACACUGGGACUGAGACACGGCCCAG